rnacentral:lncRNA from 1 species
AAAUCUAGACUACAUGAUCAUGUUUUUUUAUUAAUGACUCGAGCUUGAUCAUCACUUUUAAUUAGUAUCUGGAUGCACGUGCCAUCUUCCACUGCGUUGUACACAAAUAUCUAUGGUGCCAGCGACAGCAUCUCCAGAGGCUAUAUGCAUAGAGGUGGUGGACAACAAGGCUCUAUAACUAGUCAUCAUUUGUUUAUGUUCUAUGGUGGCCAUGCAUUGGAAGCUCUUAUCAAAAGUCCUUGUUUUUGUAUGAUGGGUGAUGAUUAGACUUGAAAAUUUAUGUUUGGAAUUUGAGUUUUUGAGAAGAGAAAGAAAACCCUUUGGAAUUAAUGAGAGAAGAGCUAAAGGACAAUAGAUUAUAC